rnacentral:rRNA from 1 species
UACGUAGGGUGCGAGCGUUAAUCGGAAUUACUGGGCGUAAAGCGUGCGCAGGCGGCGCGUUAAGACAGGUGUGAAAGCCCCGAGCUUAACUGGGGAACUGCGUCUGAUACUGGAUGGCUUGGAUUUGGGAGAGGAAUGCGGAAUUCCCAGGUGUAGCGGUGAAAUGCGUAGAUAUCUGGAGGAACACCGGUGGCGAAGGCGGCAUUCUGGACCAAUAUUGACGCUGAGGAGCGAAAGCCAGGGGGAGCAAACGGG